rnacentral:rRNA from 1 species
ACGUGUUACAAUGGGGGGUACAGAGGGCCGCUACCACGCGAGUGGAUGCCAAUCCCCAAAACCUCUCUCAGUUCGGACUGGAGUCUGCAACCCGACUCCACGAAGCUGGAUUCGCUAGUAAUCGCGCAUCAGCCACGGCGCGGUGAAUACGUUCCCGGGCCUUGUACACACCGCCCGUCAAGCCAUGGGAGCCGGGGGUACCUGAAGUGCGUAACCGCGAGGGGCGCCCUAGGGUAAAACUGGUGACUGGGGCUAAGUCGUAACAAGGUAGC